AACUUUUGUGUACGUUCCAAUUCAAUUUUAUUAUUGUGGUACCAUUAGUUAAAUUCAAUAUUUUUGUUUCUUAGUAUUUUUCAGAUAAGGCAGUUUUUAUCGAGUUGCGACUUCUUUUUUAACAUGUCUACAUAAAAAUUUUAUGGGGGUUUUGUUCCUUUAAACCCCCCAAAUGUUUGUGUACGUUCCAAUUAAACUAUUACUGAGGUACCAUUAGUUAAACAGAAUGUUUUUAAAACUUUUUUGCCUCUUUGUAUUUUUUUCGAUAAGGCACGUUUUAUCGAGAUCUGGCUUCUUUUUUAA